rnacentral:rRNA from 1 species
CAGCAGCCGCGGUAAUACGGAGGGUGCAAGCGUUAAUCGGAAUUACUGGGCGUAAAGCGUGCGUAGGCGGUUCGUUAAGUCUGUUGUGAAAGCCCCGGGCUCAACCUGGGAAUGGCAAUGGAUACUGGCGAGCUAGAGUGUGUCAGAGGAUGGUGGAAUUCCCGGUGUAGCAGUGAAAUGCGUAGAGAUGUGGAGGAAUACCGAUGGCGAAGGCAGCCCCCUGGGCCAAUACUGACGCUCAUGCACGAAAGCGUGGGGAGCAAACAGGAUUAGAUACCCCCGUAGUCCCUGUCUCUUAUAC